rnacentral:rRNA from 1 species
CCUACGGGCGGCAGCAGUGAGGAAUAUUGGUCAAUGGACGAGAGUCUGAACCAGCCAAGUAGCGUGAAGGAUGACUGCCCUAUGGGUUGUAAACUUCUUUUAUAUGGGAAUAAAAUGUUCCACGUGUGGGAUUUUGUAUGUACCAUAUGAAUAAGGAUCGGCUAACUCCGUGCCAGCAGCCGCGGUAAUACGGAGGAUCCGAGCGUUAUCCGGAUUUAUUGGGGUUAAAGGGAGCGUAGGGGGAUUGUUAAGUCCGUUGUGAAAGUUUGCGGCUCAACCGUAAAAUUGCAGUUGAAACUGGCAGUCUUGAGUACAGUAGAGGUGGGCGGAAUUCGUGGUGUAGCGGUGAAAUGCUUAGAUAUCACGAAGAACCCCGAUUGCGAAGGCAGUUCACUGGACUGCAACUGACACUGAGGCUCGAAAGUGUGGGUAUCAAACAGGAUUAGAUACCCUUGUAGUC